AACGAACGCUGGCGGCGCGCUUAACACAUGCAAGUCGAGCGGACCCGCAAGGGUUAGCGGCGUACGGGUGAGUAACACGUGGGUAAUCUGCCCUGAAGACCGGGAUAACUCGGCGAAAGCCGAGCUAAUACUGGAUGAGCAUCCGGUGAGGCAUCUCACAGGGUGAAAAGUGGCAACAUACUUCAGGAUGAGCCCGCGGC
rnacentral:rRNA from 1 species